AGAGGUGUAGGGCAUGGGAA
rnacentral:miRNA from 2 species